rnacentral:rRNA from 1 species
AACGAACGCUGGCGGCAUGCCUAACACAUGCCAGUCGAACGAGACCUUCGGGUCUAGUGGCGCACGGGUGCGUAACGCGUGGGAACCUGCCCUUAGGUUCGGAAUAACUCCCCGAAAGGGGUGCUAAUACCGGAUAAUGUCUUCGGACCAAAGAUUUAUCGCCUUUGGAUGGGCCCGCGUUGGAUUAGCUAGUUGGUAGGGUAAAAGCCUACCAAGGCGACGAUCCAUAGCUGGUCUGAGAGGAUGAUCAGCCACACUGGGACUGAGACACGGCCCAGACUCCUACGGGAGGCAGCAGUGGGGAAUAUUGGACAAUGGGCGAAAGCCUGAUCCAGCAAUGCCGCGUGAGUGAUGAAGGCCUUAGGGCUGUAAAGCUCUUUUACCCGGGAUGAUAAUGACAGUACCGGGAGAAUAAGCGCCGGCUAACUCCGUG